rnacentral:lncRNA from 1 species
ACGUGUCCAGUCUCUACGAAAAGUCCACUCGAAGCUCCGAUCUGAUCGAUCUCCUCGAGAGUGCUAGCUCACUCGAAGACCAUUUUGUUGGCUGAUCUGAAUCUUUUUUUUAAAAUUUUCAGAUCUUUUCAAAGAUUGAAGAAGGAUAUUUGAAAGAGAUGAGGAUGAGAAAAAAGUAUGGAGAGGAGACGCUCUUCUCUCUUCUUUUUCUCUCUUCCCAAAUCUUUAGGAACAAACC